rnacentral:rRNA from 1 species
ACUCCUACGGGAGGCAGCAGUGGGGAAUAUUGCACAAUGGGCGCAAGCCUGAUGCAGCCAUGCCGCGUGUGUGAAGAAGGCCUUCGGGUUGUAAAGCACUUUCAGUCGUGAGGAAGGUAGUGUAGUUAAUAGCUGCAUUAUUUGACGUUAGCGACAGAAGAAGCACCGGCUAACUCCGUGCCAGCAGCCGCGGUAAUACGGAGGGUGCGAGCGUUAAUCGGAAUUACUGGGCGUAAAGCGCAUGCAGGUGGUUUGUUAAGUCAGAUGUGAAAGCCCGGGGCUCAACCUCGGAAUUGCAUUUGAAACUGGCAGACUAGAGUACUGUAGAGGGGGUUAGGAAUUUCAGGUGUAGCGGUGAAAUGCGUAGAGAUCUGAAGGAAUACCGGUGGCGAAGGCGGCCCCUGGACAGAUACUGACACUCAGAUGCGAAAGCGUGGGAGCAAACAGGAUUAGAUACCCCUGGUAGCGACUGA